rnacentral:misc_RNA from 1 species
UGUAGGAGUGAGCCUGCUCGCGAUUCGGUUUUACAUCCGGAAUUUCUGUGACUGACAGGACGCUAUCGCGAGCAGGCUCACUCCUACA